GGGGAUGUGGCGGAAUUGGUAGACGCGCUAGCUUCAGGAGCUAGUGUUCGCAAGAACGUGGAGGUUCAAGUCCUCUCAUCCCCACCA
rnacentral:tRNA from 1 species